CAGUCGUAACAAGGUUUCCGUAGGUGAAAAUGCGGAAGGGAUCAUUAACACGUAUCCAACGUUAACCCCCCUGUGAACCUUCAGUGUGCUCGUACGCUUUGUUAGGAAGACGCGCCUGCGCUAAAACCGCGGCGACCAAAAACCGAACAACUGUAAACAAUGGAUAUCUUGGUUCUC
rnacentral:misc_RNA from 1 species